rnacentral:rRNA from 1 species
GGCGGAUGCCUUGGCUCUCGGAGGCGAUGAAGGACGUGAUAAGCUGCGAUAAGCUUUGGGGAGGUGCAAAUGACCUUUGAUCCAGAGAUUUCCGAAUGGGACAACCCAAUAUCUUGAAGAGGUAUUAUCCAACGUUGUUGGAGGCUAACGCAGGGAACUGAAACAUCUUAGUACCUGCAGGAAAAGAAAAUAAACAAUGAUUCCCCCAGUAGUGGCGAGCGAACGGGGAACAGCCCAAACCAUCCAUGUUACGGCAUGGGUGGGGUUGUAGGACUACGCCGUUGCAUGAAGACAUCAGAGAAGAACUUUCUGGAAAGAAAGACCAUAGAGCAUGACAGUUGCGUAUUCGAAUGUUGUCGAAGCAUAGUAGUAUCCUGAGUAGCGCGGAGCACGAGGAAUUCUGCGUGAAUCUGCCGGGACCAUCCGGUAAGGCUAAAUACUCCCGAGAGACCGAUAGCGAACCAGUACCGUGAGGGAAAGGUGAAAAGCACUUCGAACAGAAGAGUGAAAUAGUUCCUGAAACCGUGCGCCUACAAGCGGUCGGAGCUCGUUAAUGAGUGACGGCGUGCCUUUUGCAUAAUGAACCUACGAGUUGCCUUUGCCGGCAAGGUUAAGUGUGACGACACACGUAUCCGAAGCGAAAGCGAGUCUGAAUAGGGCGUAUAGUCGGCAGUGGCAGACGCGAAACCAAGUGAUCUACCCUUGGCCAGGUUGAAGGCUGGGUAACACCAGCUGGAGGACCGCACCAAUAAGCGUUGAAAAGCUUCUGGAUGAGCUGAGGGUAGGGGUGAAAGGCUAAUCAAACUUGGAGAUAGCUCGUACUCCCCGAAAUGCAUUUAGGUGCAGCCUUGCGGGUUACUGAUGUGAGGUAGAGCGACUGAUAAGAUGCGAGGGCUUCACCGCCUAUCAAGUCUUGACAAACUCCGAAUGCGCAUCAGUUCUACCGCAGGAGUGAGGGCAUGGGUGCUAAGGUCCGUGCCCGAGAGGAGAAGAAUCCGGACCACCUGCUAAGGUCCCGAAAUGACAGCUAAGUUAAACUAACGAAGUCUGACUGCUAAGACAGCUAGGAUGUUGGCUUGGAAGCAGCCAUUCAUUUAAAGAGUGCGUAACAGCUCACUAGUCGAGGAGUCGGGCGUGGAUAAUAAUCGGGUAUUAAGUUGUCUACCGAAGCAGUGGGAUCAUUUAUAUGAUCGGUAGGGGAGCAUUCCAGUCGGCGUCGAAGGCGUACCGUGAGGUAUUCUGGAGCGUCUGGAAAAGCAAAUGUAGGUAUAAGUAACGAUAAAGGGGGCGGGAAACCCCCUCGCCGAAAGACUAAGGUUUCCUGAUCAACGCUAAUCGGAUCAGGGUCAGUCGGGUCCUAAGGCUCAGCCGAACGGCGAUGCCGAUGGCAGAAACGGUUAAUAUUCCGUUACUACCUUCAGGAGUGACGUGGAGACGCAGUAGUGACAGUGCCGCCAUCUGACGGAAUAGAUGGUUGAAGGGUGUAGGAGUCGAUCAUGGCAGGCAAAUCCACCAUGAGAUCCGAACCUGACAGUAUGCCGCGUCCUUCGGGACAAGGCAAUAGUGCGCGUAAGCAUGCUGCCGAGAAAAUCCGCUAAACUUAAUCCUGCAGGUACCCGUACCGCAAACGGACACACGUAGUCGGGAUGAAUAUUCUAAGGCGCUUGAGUGAUUCACGGUUAAGGAACUAGGCAAACUGACCCUGUAACUUCGGGAUAAAGGGUCCCUACCCUUUUAUGGGAGGGCGCAGAGAAUCGGUCCAGGCAACUGUUUAACAAAAACACAGGGCUGUGCCAAAUCGAAAGAUCCAGUAUACAGCCUGACACCUGCCCGGUGCUGGAAGGUUAAGAGGAGAUGUCAUCGAUGAGAGAAGCGUUGAAUUGAAGCCCCAGUAAACGGCGGCCGUAACUAUAACGGUCCUAAGGUAGCGAAAUUCCUUGUCGGGUAAGUUCCGACCUGCACGAAUGGUGUAAUGAUCUGGACGCUGUCUCAACCGUGAGCUCAGUGAAAUUGUAGUAUCGGUGAAGAUGCCGAUUACCCGCGAUGGGACGAAAAGACCCCGUGAACCUUUACUAUAGCUUAUCAUUGAAUCUGGGCACGUGAUGUGUAGGAUAGGUCGGAGGCUUUGAAGCAGGUACGCCAGUAUUUGUGGAGCCGCUGUUGAAAUACGACCCUUUAUUUGUUUGGAUUCUAACCCGUGGAACGGGGACAUUGAUUGGUGGGUAGUUUGACUGGGGUGGUCGCCUCCAAAAGCGUAACGGAGGCUUCU